GGACUACCAGGGUAUCUAAUCCCGUUUGCUCCCCUGGCUUUCGUGCCUCAGUGUCAGAAGUUGUCCAGGGACUCGCCUUCGCCACUGGUGUUCCGCUCGAUAUCUACGCAUUUCACUGCUACACCGAGCAUUCCAGUCCCCCCUCCAACUCUCAAGCUGAAUAGUAUCCAAUGCCGUUUCGGAGUUAAGCUCCGAGAUUUCACAUCAGACUUACCCAACCACCUACGCACCCUUUACGCCCAGUAAAUCCGAACAACGCUUGGGACCUCUGUAUUACCGCGGCGGCUGGCAC
rnacentral:rRNA from 2 species